rnacentral:rRNA from 1 species
UUUAAUGAGAGUUUGAUCCUGGCUCAGGACGAACGCUGGCGGCGUGCCUAAUACAUGCAAGUGGAACGCAUUUUGAUC